UGUUUGAAGUAUAGUCGGAGGAGAGCUGAAACGUGUGUGCAACAAAUAAGACAUUGGGGAAAGUAGGUCAGGGCUGGUCAUGAGAGAACCACUUGUUUAAACAAACGUGCAGGAUUACUAGGUUUUGAACAAAUCAGUCCUGAGUGGAGCAUGUAACUCAGCUGGGAAGCUUUGUUUUAUCAUUGCAUCUCAGGGUCCUCGCAAAGCACCUAUGUUUAAUAGCGGAUGCGCAGCCAUUGUCAGGAUGAGGUCUUAAUGAAGCUUAAUAGGAGGAGACUGUUACUAAAUAGGAGACUGAAUUUAUUCAGAGCAAAUAAAAGUUUGGUUUUAAGAAGUAUAAUUAAUUCAGCUAAUUGAACUUAUUCCCACAUAAUUACUAGCAGGAAUUUCUAACAUCCUAUAACCUGUUGUGAGACUGAGAGAAAGUAUUUUUUUGAUGAUAUAUAGAAGCCCUUCAGUUUCAAGUUUGACCCAAGUAUAGCACUCAGAAUGCCUGAUCUGUCUUUAAGGAUUUUGUUAUUAUUCCUCUUCAUUGCUAUAGGCUGCACUGUGCUGCAGUAGGGGUGUGUUUUCUGAAAUAGAUAUUCAAAAAAGAAACCAUAUUGGGAUACACAGUACAAGCACUGAGCACUUUUCCAAAAGGACAGACAAAGAAGUCAAGAGAAGUGUAUUUAUGUUCUCUUCAAAGCACCAUGUCCGCAUCAGGUGAAUGAAAGAAAGAGAGUGGUGCAGCAAGAUCAGUAACAGAUCGGGAUUUUGGCUGUGUGAAUGCUAUUAUUUUUCUUACCAAGAUCACACUGUUUUCCUCCUGAGCCCUGAGCAUCUGCACUGGCUGUCUUCUCAGGCUCUCCCCUUCCAAGAGUCGGCUCAGCUCUGGGCACGUGGGUCAGAUGCAAGCUGAGGAGAUACAGCCAGAAGGUUCGUGUGCCUGCAGCCUCCUGAGAAGCAGCAUUCUGCCAUUCCUCUCCAGCGUUUUGUGAAACAAGCACAUUUUGCUGCACACCAGAGCUUGUCACCCACAUUUUGACAAAGCUAGUCACAAUAGCUUGACACUUUUAAUUGAACUUUAUGGAAAUCUCAGUAGUUAAGACUGAUUUUCUGUCUUUUAACCACACUGUACUUUAGCGAAAUACUGCAUCGUGGAUAAGAGAACGUUCUCGCCCGUUCAGAUGCAGCAACAGUGGGAAGCUGGAGGAGAAUUAGGGGGGCACGUAGUGGAUAGCUGAGAAUUUUCUGCUGGAUAAAUUUCCAAUGAAAACCACUCAUCUCCUAAAAACAAGUUCUUGAUGGAGAAAUUUCACAUUUGGAGAGAGCUUUUUGUUUUACACUGGGAAAAUUGGUGUGAUGCUUCUGUGAUGCCUAGCUAGGUGAAUCUUACCAGCUGUGUUCUCUGCCUACAGGACUUAUCAGAAGCUCACCGUGUGGCACCGAGUGCUUCAGCUCUCCACUGUCUUGACCCUUCUCCCGCUUCCUUCUCUCGGGUAUCUAGGCAAACAGGGAAUUGGGAGAGCUAUCCCAAAACUUUGUGAGAAUGUAUAUGUUAAGUACGAAAUCAAAACAAGACUAGAAGCUAGAACUGGAAAGCGACAGAAAAUCAGAUGAUCCCUUCUGAAUAAUAUCUUGGCGCUGGCGUAACCGCAACAUGUAUUGCUGAGCUGUGUUUUUCCUGCUGCAAUCCCACAAGCUGGAGGGAAAGCAACUCACUAACAAAAGUUUCCUGCCACUAUUGUAUGUCCUCUUUUCUUUGGAAAGAUAGUAUUAAUAGAGAGGGAUGCUUGAUUUCUUGUUUCUGACACUUCACCAGCCCCAGGAGGUUUUUUUCCCAGUGGCGAAGGUGUUUGUUACAUUUCUAUGAAUCCCCUCUCCUUCAUUUUUCUAUCAUCCUCUGAAUGCCUAGCUCUCAAGCAGCACACCAAACCAACGUAUUUCCAGCCUAGAGGAUGAAAAGAGGAUGUGUAUUUUUCCAUUCAACCUGAAUUUUGAGCAUAACCUCGAGGACUAUGUGUGGGACUGCAAGUGCAUCCUCAUGCACGCUUGGCUGUAUCUCCUGGUACCCAAGGACAUACCCCGAGUGCGCCGGACAGGCGGGCUGCAGGGGUGCGGUGCUGGCACAGCGCACUCGCUACUGCCUCCAAACCCCUCGCUCAGAAAAGCGUAGUCUGCAAGAUCCCUUCAUAGCUCAUAAAAUGCAGCUCGCUCAUGAUUAGAAGUAUGUAGCCAGACGUGGCAUGUAAACAGCAAGAUCUCCAGAAAUCUAGACUUUCUAGGCUCAUUUUCAUUUGCAGGUUCUGUAAAAACAAAACUGAACGGUUAUGUCCAAUGGCUACUCUAUCUUUUAUGCAAUAUAGGACACAGCAAUUGAGAAGAAAAGGAAGGAAACAAAGCCUACCUUUUCUAGGAAAAAUCUAAACAAAUCCUUAUUUGCAAAUAACUUCACCCAGUGGUAUUCUGGGGGCUAGAAAGGAACACAACAGAACAGAAAGCAACAACUGUGACAAUUGUUUGCCAUAAUCUUGCAAAAAAGGUGUUAGAAGGAGAAUCUCAUUACAAAAAGGUAAAAGGUGGACAUAAGAUUGAUUUUUUUGGAGUUCAGUUCACUGUCAACAUAGCAUGGGAGUUUCACCAAAAACAAAACAAAACCCACUGGCUCAAGGCCUGGGCAGGAUCUCUCGGACUCCAGAGAGCUGACCCACGUGUCUGCGACCGGGUUCAUGAUGACGAGGUGCCUCACUCCUGGCCCUCUGACCAGAAGUCCACAUUGCCCAGAGGACUGCAGGCUAUUGUGGGCUAUUCUGGGAUGGAUUUUUCAUAGUUGUUUGCAUCCGGCAAGGACAAGUCUUUCUAGUUUCCUAAGGAAUUGCUAAGUCCCUUUUAAACGCUUUUCCACUAGCAGCUCCUGACACUGGGAACUACUAGGAAUCAUCAAAAGCUUUUGUCAAAAUGGGGAGAAGGAGGACAAUAAAAGACAAUAUGGUUAAACAUAUACAUAGUUAUACAAGCAAGGCCCUUGAAAUCAAACAAAUCGAAAAAAAACCACACGAACAAUACUGUAAUUGUAUAAUCCCCCCCAGAUGUAAAACUGGCCCUCAGCUGUUCAAGUCAGUAAACAGGCUCUCAAGAUCAAGCCACUGAAAGCAAAGACUAGUGCAGUUAUAUGUUUAAAAGAAUUGAAAUAUGCUUAAAUAGUGGAUGUUCCACCUUGUGUACUGCACUCGAUCAGCAUAUUUUUCCUCUUUAUCACUUGCAGAAAGCCUGACUGCUGUCUCUUGAGAGGCAAAUAAUUUAGACUGCGUCUAGAAGAGCUGAGAUCUAAGAUAAAUAGCUGUCAUCAAUGUGAUAGAGCCUGAGACAGCAUGGCACAUAAGAGUCAGGGACCUUCUUGAUCGCAGUCUGAUUAUUAGUUUGGAGACUCAUUCUAUCUGUGCUAGCGUAAGAACAAAUUUCUAUAAAUAUGUGGUAGAAAGGGUGUAAUUUGUUCUUCAUAUAAUACCUGUUUUAUGCUCUAGUGGAGCCAACUGAGUCACUGAAGUAUCAAUGCACUGUUACAGUGCUGUUUUUAAAAAGUAUUUCCACAGAAUCUGAAAUUGUGUGUGCCUGUAAUUAUUUUAUCAUCAAAAUUUGUAAGUGAAUAUUAAUACCCUGCUUCUUGCAAA